GGGCCCGCACAAGCGGUGGAGUAUGUGGUUUAAUUCGAUGCAACGCGAAGAACCUUACCAGGGUUUGACAUCCUGCGAAUCUCUUGGAAACGAGAGAGUGCCUUCGGGAACGCAGUGACAGGUGGUGCAUGGCUGUCGUCAGCUCGUGUCGUGAGAUGUUCGGUUAAGUCCGGCAACGAGCGCAACCCACAUCCCUAGUUGCCAGCAGUUCGGCUGGGCACUCUAUGGAAACUGCCCGUGAUAAGCGGGAGGAAGGUGUGGAUGACGUCAAGUCCUCAUGGCCCUUACGGGUUGGGCUACACACGUGCUACAAUGCUACGGACAAAGGGCUGCAAGUUCGCGAGGACAAGCAAAUCCCAUAAACCGUGGCUCAGUUCAGAUCGUAGGCUGCAACUCGCCUACGUGAAGGCGGAAUCGCUAGUAAUCG
rnacentral:rRNA from 1 species